AGUGAACGCUGGCGGCAGGCCUAACACAUGCAAGUCGAACGGCAGCACGGCAGUAGCAAUACUGUGGGUGGCGAGUGGCGGACGGGUGAGGAAUACAUCGGGAUCUACCCUGUUGUGGGGGAUAACGUAGGGAAACUUACGCUAAUACCGCAUAAGAACUGAGGUUGAAAGCGGCGGACCGCAAGGCGUCGCGCGAUUGGAUGAACCGAUGUCCGAUUAGCUAGUUGGCGGGUAAAGGCCCACCAAGGCGACGAUCGGUAGCUGGUCUGAGAGGACGACCAGCCACACUGGAACUGAGACACGGUCCAGACUCCUACGGGAGGCAGCAGUGGGAAUAUUGGACAAUGGGCGCAAGCCUGAUCCAGCCAUGCCGCGUGAGUGAAGAAGGCCCUCGGGGUUGUAAAGGCUCUUUUGUCCGGAAAGAAAAGACGCCGGGUUAAUACCCUGGUGUCCUGACGGUACCGGAAGAAUAAGCACCGGCUAACUUCGUGCCAGCAGCCGC
rnacentral:rRNA from 1 species